AAUUGCCUUGAUGUGGGGGAUAACCAUUGGAAACGAUGGCUAAUACCGCAUGAUGCCUACGGGCCAAAGAGGGGGACCUUCGGGCCUCUCGCGUCAAGAUAUGCCUAGGUGGGAUUAGCUAGUUGGUGAGGUAAUGGCUCACCAAGGCGACGAUCCCUAGCUGGUCUGAGAGGAUGAUCAGCCACACUGGAACUGAGACACGGUCCAGACUCCUACGGGAGGCAGCAGUGGGGAAUAUUGCACAAUGGGCGCAAGCCUGAUGCAGCCAUGCCGCGUGUAUGAAGAAGGCCUUCGGGUUGUAAAGUACUUUCAGCAGUGAGGAAGGGGGUGUCGUUAAUAGCGGCAUCUCUUGACGUUAGCUGCAGAAGAAGCACCGGCUAACUCCGUGCCAGCAGCCGCGGUAAUACGGAGGGUGCGAGCG
rnacentral:rRNA from 1 species